UUGAGCCAGUCAUACAUUG
rnacentral:snRNA from 1 species